GAAAUGCGAUAAUUAAUGUGAAUUGCAGAAUUCAGUGAAUCAUCGAGUCUUUGAACGCACAUUGCGCCCCCUGGUAUUCCGGGGGGCAUGCCUGUCCGAGCGUCAUUGCUGCCCUCAAGCACGGCUUGUGUGUUGGGCUUCCGUCCCUGGCGACGGGGACGGGCCCAAAAGGCAGUGGCGGCACCAUGUCUGGUCCUCGAGCGUAUGGGGCUUUGUCACCCGCUCCCGUAGGUCCAGCUGGCAGCUAGCCUCGCAACCAAUCUUUUUAACCAGGUUGACCUCGGAUCAGGUAGGGAUACCCGCUGAACUUAAGC
rnacentral:misc_RNA from 1 species